CCUUUGUUGAGAAGUCCCUUUUUCCCUAGCUCCAUCAGAGCAUGCGCCUGGCGCCUUUCAUCUCGCCAUUCACUCAGCAGAGGUGUGAUUUAAGCAAUCAGUUUGGGUGAAGACCUGAGUAUACACGGCUCAGUUGCUUCUUCUUCGCUCAGGAACACCUAAUGUCUGGUCUCUCUGCUCUUGGCCAUGUGGUGAAUCUGUUUAGAGACCAUCAUUUAGGCAACGCUGCCUCCCGCCUGCCUAUGCUGCCUUCUCCCACAGCUCAUAGUGAUAAAGCAGAUGUUUCCAGUCCCAUCUGCCUGACCUCAGAUGGGGGAAAUGUGAUCACUAAUGGAGAGGAGACUGGCUUAGGACAUGGGCCUGGGAGAAGCCCCAGAGGCUUUGUUUCAUGGUCAGUUUGAACAGAUUAGACUACUGGAUGCUCACAGUGCUGCUGGCUGCUGCUUCCAAGAAAGAUUGACAUGUUUGUCUUGACAUCUCGCUUCAGGAAUGGAUGGAUACACAGGGAAGCAUAAAUUUGGGACUAAAGUGUUCUAACAUUUCUCAUGCGGUCUGCAAGAGGGUACUGAACUAAAAUCCUCAGAUUGGAAUUUGCUGUGCUAACUAUAUGCAUUGUUUGGAGAACAGUGAACAUUCAAAAUUGUAUUCACAUAUGGGCAGUCCCAGGUUCACAGAGGUAGCAGGAUGGAGACUGAGCGCAGCUACAGAGAAGCUCCUUCAAAUAGCCUCUCAGAUUCAUGCCAGCCAAUAGCUCAGGGUGCAAACAAGUCACAAUACUGCAACUAAUGUCUUCUGAUAUGAAAGCUAUGUUUCCAGAGCCACUGGGGCCAGGACGUGGACUCAAGAGAGACAGAAAUAUGCUCACUGGAUACUGUGGCUCAGUAAGGAACCGUGCCAGACCUCUCAUAUGUAACUGUUCUCUCCAUGUCAUUAGUAUAAGAAAAGAGGAAACUUUGGAUGCCACCAAGGCUAGAUUGUUCAGGUGAUUCUGCUCCAUCCCUUCCAAGCUCCCCCAUGUAAGUGGAAGGAGGCAAGGGUGUAUGUCCGUCUCCUGGAGGAAAUCCACUAAGUUCCUAGUUAUGGCUGACGAUGUGUGCCUCUCCUUGGGAUGUCAAACCACAUCUUUCCUGCUACCCCUGAAGGUAUACAUUUCUGUGAGCCUGCACAUAGGUUGUAAUAUCUGCCCUUUCUACUUGCACAUCCAGUGGCACCUAGUGAAGGACAAGUCCCACUAGUCCUGAUGGUACAACCUUUACAAAGUGUCCAAGGUGUUAUAUUACCCCUAAAUGGGAGAAAUAUCUCCCUUUGGACAUGGAGGACGACUUGGCUGAGUUGGGAUGCCAACAGGGGAGUGAUUAGGGGUCUUUGUCUCUGGACUACUGCAGCCCUGGAACAGCAAAUCUGCCCUGAGGGGGAAACACCAGUACAGCAUGAUGAAGCCCCACCCGGUUGCCUGACCUGAAUAUACCUGGAAUAGUUGUCUAAAUGUCUAAAUGGGGAUGAGAUGAUUCUUCCAGGCUGGUAGAUGACUUGCAUUAAGAAGUUAAUGGAGACAAAGGAUCCUCAAAACGAGUCCAUGUUUUUUUUUAUCAAAACAGUAAGAAAUAAAGAUGAAGUGGGGGAUUGAGUGCUGGACCACAAACUGCCUUAUGAGAUUAUCUCACACCAAAUAAUGUGACUAAAGCUCCUAUGAAAAGAGAUGGACACAGAGGAAAUGAUGGCUUCUCAAACUUUUAGAUGCAAGGUAGCUUGUUCAUAUAUGGAAACCCAAAGGAAGCUAAAGAAAGUACAAGGAACAGACUAAUAGGAUAUAAUGAAGACUAAUCUGUGAGCUAGAGCAAUUUGUUAGUAGAAGGAGAACCUUCAGAAGAUUGAGACAAAGGGAGAUCCCUUUAAAGACUAGAAUUGUUUGUUCUCAUCCUUGAUGUUAGCCAUGCAUGACCCUCAAAUCCCGGAAUCUUUGAAAGUACAUCCAAGAGAUGAAGCUAAAGACUUUGUCAAACCAAUCUCAUUUACAUUGGUGGUACUGAAGUGGAGCACAUGGAGGAAACUCUUGCUGCUUUCAGCACCAUCUUGUAAAACUGAUCCUGGUCCCUGAGUGGGAGCCCUUUCACAUUAAAAAACUAGUGUUGAGGUCUUGUCCUUCUAUCUCCCAGGGAGAAUCACCAUAAGUGUUGAACUCUUCAAAUUCCUACUUUUACUAGAUUAAAAACCCCAGGUAACUUUUACCCAUGGGUCAGAGAAGCUACAAAAUAAAUUCUUUUUUUUUUCUUGAUUUGAGAUUAGUGUUUGCCAUUGCUCAUAAGCCCAGAUCAUAAUUACUUGAUAUUUUUCACCUUUUGAAUGGAACAUGAUAGCCCUUCCUUUGUCAGACUGCAUAAUUGGCAAAGGAAAUUUAUACUGUAGAAGACCCUCAGUAGGACCUGAUGUGUUGAUGCUGAAUGCACCAGUAGGAACUUCCUAUGCUACCAAGACCUGCUAUGGUCAUUCAAGAUUUGGUGGAGAGAUUUUCCUCAUUAAAGGAAAACUUUGACUCUUCAAUUUCACAUUCCUAUUUGAUAAUAAGUACUUUCUGAGUUGAAGUCCCAUAAGGCCCACUCAUGGCCACCCAUAGACAAAUCAGCAUGCACUUCUUCCCAUCAGAGCCCAUAAAAACCCUGGACUCAGCCAGACUUGGACAGAUAUCAGGACUACCAGCUGCUGGAAGAAGCUACCCUCUUUGACUUGUUGGGAUGACCUGCCUGUGGAAAGGAGCUACCCACUGCAGGUCUCCUCUCCACUGAGAGCUGGACAUUCAUUGGGAUGACCUGCCUGCAUAAAGGAGCUACCCACUUUGGGUCUCUUGAGAGCUGUUCUGUCACUCAAUGUAGCUCUUCUCUCUGCCUUGCUCACCCCCCAGUUGUCUGUGUACCUCAUUCUUCCUGGACGUGGGGCCAGAACUCAGGAUCUUCUAAAUGGCAGGACUGAAAGAGCUGUAACAAACCAGGCUGAAACAUGCCUGUCUCCCACUUGCCAUGUUGUGGGUGAUGAAGAGAGAAGAGCUACAGCUGGUAGUGCAAACUGAGCACAGCCAGCUGGGCCAGGUGGGCAGAAUGAACCCAGAGGGCAUGAGUUAUACUCAAGCAGAGGGCGCCACUGGCCACAGAAGUUUCUGGCUGGCAAAGUGACACCCCAAGGAUCCCAUGACAGCAUGUGAGAUAUAUCUGAAAUCUGCUUCCUAGACAGACAUACCUCAUUUCUUCAUCUUCAGCUUUUUGCUCAACCGUCAUCCUAUCAGUGAGGCCAUCCCUAACCACCCUACUUCAAGUUGCAGCAUUUGUUUACUCCUUGGCAGGCUCUUUCUCCUUUCUCUGCUUUAUUUUUCAUCAAUACAUUCAGUUUCUUGUAAAAUAUUGUCUUUUAAAGAUAAUUAUUAUUUGGUUUCAUCCCCUUUAAUAAAAUGUAAUUUUUCUGUGAAGGCAGAAAUUUGCAUGUGUUUAGUUCAUUCCUAUCACCUAGGAAAGUACUUGAAUUUUAGUAUAUUUCAAAUGGAAUUUGUUGAAUAAAGAAUCAAAUAAAGAUUCCUGGAACAAAUAAUAUGUACCUCUAUCUUAACUGAUGACCUAAACAAAUAUUUUC
rnacentral:lncRNA from 1 species